rnacentral:rRNA from 1 species
UACGGGGGGAGCAAGCGUUGUUCGGAUUUACUGGGCGUAAAGGGCGCGUAGGCGGCGCAACAAGUCACUUGUGAAAUCUCCGGGCUUAACCCGGAGCGGCCAAGUGAUACUGUCGUGCUAGAGUGCGGAAGGGGCUACUGGAAUUCUCGGUGUAGCGGUGAAAUGCGUAGAUAUCGAGAGGAACACCAAUUGCGAAGGCAGCUCGCUGGGACGUUACUGACGCUGAGACGCGAAAGCGUGGGGAGCAAACAGG